CCACAUCGGCAUCUUAAGCUUUUUUUGUUAUCCGGGUAUUUUGGAGUGAGCAAAAUGAGCACUUGGAUUUUAGUAAUUUUGAAGUGAGCUUGGAUUUGGUGAGAUACAUAGUGGAAAAUUGUGUUGUGCUUGAAGAAAUAGUUAUCGGACAUUGUGAUCGUGUUGGAUUGGUGAAGGAUAUUGUGGAUUAUGAUGAUGAAUCCCUUAGUGAGAUCAUCGUCGAACCUCAAUUGUCUUAUUGUGGCCAUGUGGCUACACCUGAGCAACAACAGGCUUUUGAAAAAAUCAUGCAGAUGCAACAUAUACCACAACACAUUAAAUUACGUCUUGUUUUUGAGAUUGAACCACCUAUAAGUUUGAAGCAUUAAUUAUUAGAUGUAUUUGAUGACAUUGUGAUUUAGUUUGGAUUGUUGUAAUAUUUUAUUUCUAUGUAUGGUAGAAACUCUGAUCGUGUAAGUCAUAAUUGUUUUAAAUUAUACUAGUUUUUUGCCCUAAAAAAUUUAUACUACUAGUUUUGCUCCCAUGUAAAACCUCAAUUUAUGAUGUGGCUCGUCUCGAACGAUUCUGUGUAAGUUAUAUUUUAUUGUUUUGAAUGAUAUUACUUUUGCUCCCGUGCGAUAUACGGUAAUAGUUAUUUAAUUAAAGAGUUGGUUUUGUAAGUUAUAUUUUAUUGUUUUAAAUGAUAUUAUUUUUGCUCUCGUGGGAUAUACGGUAAUAGUUAUUUAAUUAAAGAGGUGGUCUUGUGUACACCUAAUUGUACGAUGCAAUUGGGUCAACCCAUCAAUAAAUUAGUACUCCUUCCGUCGCACUCUAAUAGGCUUACUUUUUUUAGGCACAGAGAUUAAGAAAAUUUACUAUUUUUUAGUAGAAAAGUGGUGUGGUCCAUACCAAAAAAANAACGAGCCUAUUAGAGUGGGACGGAACGGAGGGAGUACUAUAUUUAUAUUACAAAUUAUUUAAUAUCUAAUAAUUUCAUUCUCAAAAACAUCAAUAAUUUAAAAUAAAUGACAUUUUUUCUCUUAAUAAAUGAUACUGUAAAUUCUUUUUAGUUAACAAUAAAUGACACUUGAAAUUUGUCUAAAUGACACUAUUUUUGAUCAGUAAAUGGCAUUUUUACUAUAUCUAAAUAAGAUAUCAGUCUCAAAAGGCAUACACUGCCCACGACAGAGAAAGAUAAAUUAAAACAACCAGUUAAGGCCUCUGCCCAUACAGUUGAAACAAGCAAAUCCUCAAAUUUCUAUACCAGUCAGGUUGACUUUGUUCAGUUAUGUUCCAAAUCUCGUUGAUCUUUGCUUGGAAUUCCACCCACUCGAGGGGGAGGUAUGUAAUUCACCAGAGGAGGAGGAAUCCAUCCCAUCUUCUUCUCCUGCGAGGCUUUUACCAAGCGCGAGAUUUUGCCCUAUUCGUCCUAGUUGUUGAGGACCUCCAUGCUUUCCUUAGAGAGUCGGCAUCACCUUUGUCCAAGAAUAUACAUAUUAGUUACCAUUUGGUGAAGAUUUCUUUCACCAGUCACUUAACUCCUUAGACACCCAAGAUUCAGUGUUGUUCAGGAUUUCAGAAUUCCAGCCUUUAUGUAUGGAGCGAGUUGAUGAUGCGUUGGAGGGAUAGUUCCACCAAGAUCUAUUCUUCUUUUAGUUGUAGGUUCCUCUUCUUUUUCUCCACUCCUUGGCCUUUUCUUUGAAAACUCUUGCUUUUCCUUUAUCUACAACAGUCUUGGCAGCCUUGACCAUGUCUUCUAUGGCGUUAGAUGUCAGUGGAAUAGGGGCUGCUGAUGCAAUCGGGCUCUUCUUUUUCUUGUUAGUCCUUCCCCCUUUUUGGCAUCAUCAUAAAGCACCGUUACCAUCUGCUUCAGCUUAUCAAAAUCUUCUCUGCAUUUGAGAACAUCAGAGAAGUCGACUUCAUGUUUGAAUCUUACCAUCUCAAUCUCUAACUUGGUUACUCUCUCCUGUAGAGGUUGAGUUUCACUACAAGAAACAGCGGCUCCAACGACCGAAAUUAACGACCGAAAUUUUCGGUCUUUAAAAAGGCGGCCUUAACGACCGAAAUUUUAAUAUUAACGACCGUUUUGUUUAAUAUUUUAAAUCUUAUUUUUUUUUAUUUCCUACGACCGAAUGAAACGGUCGUUAAUUUAUAACGACCGUAUCUACGACCGUUUUCCGGUCGUUGGUUAUUUUUUAUUGAAUUUUGAUAUAAUUUUAAUUUAACGACCGUUUGUAACGGUCGUUACCUUAAUUUGAGUUCUGAUAUUUUUAAGUUUUCGGAAAUAUUUAACGACCGUUUGUUAACGGUCGUUGUAUUUUAAUUUAUUUAAAUAUAUUUAAUAUUCACGACCGAAAUUCGGUUUUUAUAUUAGAACUAAAAAAAAGAAUAAUUAAUAAUUAUUUUUAACGACCGUUUUUCGGCGUUGUAUGUCUAAUUUCUUAAUCUUGUAUUUAACUUGGUUUCUACUUUUUCCGGCGUUUUCUUUUUCAUCGGUCGUUGAAUUCGCAGACUCUAGGUUUCAAUUUUCCCCCAUUUCUUUCCACCCUUUCCUCCUCCGAUUCUCCGCCUCCUUCCGCCGAUUUCGCCGUUCCCGAACACCGCCGCCUCCGUCCAUCGAACGACCACCUCCACCGACGCCGCCGCUGCUGCUCCUACUCCGUCCGACGCGACCGCUGCCUGCUUCUCUCCGUUCGACGCGACGCGACCGCUGCUGCUCCUCUCCGUCCGACGCGACGCCGACGCCGCCGCUCUCCGUCCGACGCCGCUGCUCUCCGUCGACGUGAUACUCUACGGUAAGUUAAUUAAUUAUUCAUCCUAACCCUAAUUAAUUAUUUUUAUAGAUUUCAUCAAUUAUUAACCCUAACUCUAAUUCCCAGCCCCCUGCCCUCGCCGGACCGCCCCUGCCCUCGCCGGAAAGCUCCUGCCGUUGCCGGAAUAAGAGAUUGUAGGUUAGUUCGUGUAACUUAUAUAAUGUAGGCUAUUAAUUUGAAUUUAGGUUAAUAUUGGUAUGUUAGUAUAUAUACAUUUAGGUUAAUUAUAUGUGAAUUAAUGAGAAAUUUACAUAGAACUUAGUAUGAAUUAUAUGUGAAUUAAUGUAGGCUAUGUUUCAAAAUUUAUGUUAAUUAUAUUAGUAUGAAUAAUGUGAAAUUUAGUUGUUGUGUUGUAUAGUAUAUGUGAAUUAAUGUGAAUUUAGUUUGAAUGUAAUGUGAAAUUAUAUGUUAAUUAUAUAUGUUCAUUUGUAUUUGAUUUGUUUAAAGAACAAGAACUUAGUAAGAUAAUUUAUUUUAUAAGAUUUAUUUAAAGAACUUAGUUAGGUUUAUUUGUAAAUAUUAGAUUUAUUUAAAUAACUUAGUUAAGUUUAUAUAGUUAAAGAACUUAGUUAGGUUAAUCUCUAUUUAAAGAACUUAGUUAGGUUCAUUUCUAUUUAAAGAACUUAGGAAGCUUAAUUUCUAUUUAAAGAACUUAUAAUGUUUAAAUUUAUUUAAUUCGCUUUAUCGCCGGUGGGGGAGAGGCGAAAUAUAUGAUUUAGCAUGAUUAAUUGCGUUGAGCAUGUUUUAAUUAUAAUUAAGCAUGAUAGUUUCGCCGAUGGGGGAGAGGCGAUUAAGUAUGAUUGUGAUUAAUUGGAGUUUGGGCCGCCGGUGGGGGAGAGGCGGAGGCGGUAGCAAUGACUACCGCAUUGGUUUUGUUGUUGUGUUGAAAUUUCAAUCUUCAAUCAUCCUUCUUGAAAUCCUAAUCGUAAUAUUCAGUCAUCCUUCUAUAAUCCUAAUCUCCGUCCUUAUUUGAGUUCUUAAUGUCUACUUUUAUUCAUAAUCUUAAUCUUAAUUCGGAUUCCUAAUUCUAAUCUUAAUCUUAAUCCUACUCUUAAUCUUAAUUCCUAAUCCAAAUCUUAAUCUCAUUUCUUAAUCAUACUCUUAAUCUUAAUUCCAAAUCCAAAUCAAUCUCCUUUCAUAAUCCUAAUCUUAAUCUUAAUUCCUAAUCCAAAUAUUAAUCUCAUUUCAUAAUCUUGAUCUUAAUUCCUAAUCCUUAUCUUAAUCUUAAUCUUAAUUUCUAAUAUUAAUUUCCACUCUUAUUCAUCAUCUUAAUUUUAUAUCUAAUGUGUGAACUAAUUAAAAUAUUAAUAAUAUAUGAAUGCAGGAAAUAUAAACAUGAGUUUAGAUAGAGGAUGGAUGUAUAGGCGAUAUGCUCAAGGUAGUCUAACAGGAGAGUUCAUGGAUGGAUUGGAAGUAUUUAUCCAUUAUGCACUUUCUCGACCGGACUUAAUGAUUGGAAAUAAGAUCAAAUGCCCAUGCACGAAAUGUAAGAACAAAAAAUUUGAUACUCCAAUGACUGUUAGGGUUCACUUGGCAAAGAAUGGUUUUAUCCCUAGAUACCAUAUAUGGACGAUGCAUGGUGAAGCGUUAGUGCAAGUCCCUGAUGUUGCUAGGCGUAUUGUAACCAUUGACGAAGAUAGAGAAGUCAAUCGUUAUGAGACGAUGGUGAUGGAUGUAGCGACAGCUCAAUUUCACAAUGUCNACUGAGAUAACUAUUUUCCCUGUACUUGAAAUAGCUGCACUGACUGCACUGAGAUAGUACACUAGGUUCGCUGAUACAAUCGCACUGACUGCACUGAGAUAGCCUCACUGGCUGCGCUGAUACAAUCGCACUGACUGCACUGAGAUAACCAUACUGGCUGCGCUGAUACAAUCGCGCUGACUGCACUGAGAUAGCCAUACUGGCUGCGCUGAUACAAUCGCACUGACUGCACUGAGAUAGCCAUACUGGUUGCGCUGAUACAAUCGCAUUGGCUAUGCUGAGACAAUUUAUGCAAUCUGCGUUGCAGAUGACUUAUAUGAAGAUAACUGCAUAGGCCGAGAUGACUGAGAUAGUCACGCUGAUAAUUUGAGCACUAAUUGUACUGAGAUAACUGAGAUAGUUCCACCAGCCCCGAUAACUGAAAUAACUGAGAUGGCUGCGCAGGCUGAAAUAACCUGUCCUGACUGCGCUGAGAAAGCUCAGAUACAUUCUGAGGCUUACAGUUUCGGAUCGUGGCUAAGUUACCAUUUAAGGUUUUAAUAUCCGCUACGCGGCUGAGUUGCCGUUAAGGCUCAAAUAUCCUGCUAAGUUUUUCGAGAAAAUACACAUGGUGGCAUAUACUCCAGUUGGUGAAGCAUGAAAUCAACGCCUAAUCUAAAAAGCAAUAAUCGAGACAGGAUUUACGUGGUUCGGUCGUUAAGACCUACAUCCACGGGUGUUCUUCGAGUUCUUCCACUAUACUUCGAGAUAAUUACAUUUUACAAGUGUUGCGUAGAAAUAAAUCAAUCCCUCCUAAUGCUAAUGCUAACCUUCUAUUUAUAGAUGUGAGAGUGAGCCCUAAAGGCCUUAGGCCCAUGAACUCUAAUAAUUGGAUUUAGGCCCUUUAAUGCCUUAAUACACCUUAGUCUUGAUUUGACCCAUCUACGCUGUCCUUCGUUGGUGAAACGGGUAACUCCGGCUCUAGCAAGGCCAGCUCUGCGCUCUGGCUGCGUUGCUGUUCUACGCUGCUGUGCUGCGCAGCUCUACUGCGCUGCUCUGGUCUGCGCUGUUCUGCUCUGGCUGCGCAGCGCUGCUGCGCUGGUGGUGUUGCACUUAGAGUUGUCAACUGGGCUGGGCCAGCCCGGCCCGGCCCAGGCCCGGUUGAGCCCGUAAGGAGUUAGGCCCAGCCCAGCCCAAGCCCACAUUUGAAAUGGGCCGGUCCUGGGCCGGGCUUUUUAUAAAAUAUCGAACCCAGCCCGAUUCAGGACCACAUGUCUAGUGGGCUUGGGCCUCAAAUGGGCCGGGCCUCACAUGGGCUUAUGUUGGGUCGAGUAUGAUGGGCUUAUACUGGGUUGUACUUCGAAUGAGCUUCAGUUGGGUACGAAUGAGUUUUCAAUUUUAGAUUGUUUUAAAUUUGUAAUCAUUAUCUUUAAAUUAUUUUGAGCUUAUUUAUAUAUUUGACAAAUGGUCCUUGUCAAAAUACAAAACUAAUUAUAAUCUGGAUCAUAUAAAUAAUGUGCACGUUCAUAUAUGGACAACCACUAAAUUUAAAUAAAUUUAAUAUUUUAAUAAGUUUGAAUAGAAGAUUGAAUUGGAGACGUAUUUGAAUUGGAAAUUAAAUAGGUUUAAUAUUUUAGUAUUGCUAAAUUGUGCAGGGAAUUGAAUAUUGAAUAAGAGGAAUAAAUAUAUAAAUAAUAUUUAACCUAAAUUAUUGGGCUUGGACCGGUCCUGGGCUGGGCCUGGUCCUGGUCCUGGGCCGGGCUUGGGCUGGGCUUCUACCGAUCCUGGUCCUGGGCCGGGCUUGGGUUUGAUAAAUAGCCCAAAUGGAGCCCAUUUCAAAGGGCUGGCCCGGCCCAACUAACCCAUUCGAUCAAGUGGGCUGGUCCUGGGCCGGCCCAUACCGGGCUUGGGCCGGUUCGGGCUGGGCCGGCCCGGCCCAGUUGACAACUCUAGUUGCACUUUAGCAAGGCAACAUCUCUGCACUUUGGUCAAGGCUGAUUGACUCUUCAUAUUCAUUUGUUAGCAAGUCUUUUUAGUUAGACCUGCGCUCAUUAGUUCCUGUGAUAAUAAUAAUAACAAUAAUCAGGUAAAGUAGACUUAAACUACUAAGCACAGCGCUGAUGAGUAUUCCAGUCCUCAUCACAAAUGACACCAACACUAUAUGGAAAUAACACUAAUGCUUUCAUGUUAUAUAAAUAAUACUAUCAUGUUCUAUAAAUUAACACUACAUAGAUGAAAUUAAAAUGAUGAAAUUAACACUACAUAGAAAUGACACUAACACUAUUAUAAAGAACAUUUUUCUGUUAUACAAAUGACACUAGCACUAUAUAGUUCUACAAAUGACACUAACACUAUUAUAAAGAGUACUUUCAUGUUCUACAAAUAACACCAAUACUAUAUGAAAAUGACACUAAUACUAUGAUGUUAUAUAAAUAAUAUUAUCAUAUGUUCUACAAAUAACACUAUAUAGAAAUAACACUAAGGGCAUGGCUAGUAUGCAGGAAUGGAAUGAGAAUGGAAUGAGAAUGAAAUGGUCAUUCCUGCCCAUUCCCAAUCCUAUGGCUGGUACGAUUUUUGUCAUUGGAAUCGUCAUUCCCGAUGGAAAGUCUAUUCCCAUACAUAUGGUCCCCUCCCUCGUGGUAUUGUGUAUUCCCACGGAUAUGAUAUUACUCAAAAUUAAAGGUUAUUUAUUUUUAAUUAAAUAAUAAUAAUAAUAAUAAUAAUAAUAAUAAUAAUAAUAAUAAUAAUAAUAAUAAUAAAAUAAUAAUAAUAAUAAUUUAAUAAUAAUACUCCCUCCGUCCCAAACGAAAUGUCCUGUUUUCCUUUUUGGGCCGUCCCAAACGAAAUGUCAUAUUUUCUUUUUUGGCAAUACACUCUCUCUCCAUACUUAAUAUUUAAAUAAUUUCCACCAACUCACUUUAUCUACUUUAUACACAUUUCUUAAUCUCCGUGUCGAUAAAGAAAUAGGACAUUUCGUUUGGGACGGAGGGGGUAUAAUAUAAUAUAAUAUAAUAUAAUAAAAAUAAAUAAAAUGUAACAAAUAAUAAUUUAAAAAAUAAUAAUAUUAAUAAAGUAUAACAAAUAUUAAUUAAUAAUUAUCAAAUAAUGAUAAAUAAUAGUAAUAAAAUGUAAAAAAAUAAUAAUUAAUAAUUACUCCCUCCGUCCAUGAAAGAACUUCCUAGAAGGGAGUGGUACGGGUUUUAAGAAAAAAUAUUGUUGAGUGUAUUGAGAGUGAAUAAAAGGUAGUUAAGUGUAUUGGGAGUGAUGAAAAUGUGUUAUAAUUAAUAUGAGAGUUGUGAAAAGUGAAAAGUAAGAGGAUUAUAAAUGGUGGGGUAUAGUCCAAAAAUAGGUAGGAAGUUCUUUUGUGGACGUCCCAAAAAGGAAAGAUAGGAAGUUCUUUCGUGAACGGAGGGAGUAUAAAAUAAUGAUAAAUAAUAAUAAUAAUAAUAAUUAAAUAAAAGUUUAUUUAUUUUAAUUAAAUAAUAAUAAUUAUAAAAAAUAAAAUAAUUUAAUAAUAAUAAUAAUAUAAUAUCAUAUGAUAUAAUAAAAUAAAUAAUAAUAAUAAUAAUAAUAAUAAUAUAAUAUAAUAAAAAAUAAAUAAUAACAAUAAAUAAAUUAAUAAAUAAAAUGUAACAAAUAAUAAUUUAAAAAAUAAUAAUAUUAAUAAAGUAUAACAAAUAUUAAUUAGUAAUUAUCAAAUAAUGAUAAAUAAUAGUAAUAAAAUGUAAAUAAUAAUAAUAAUAAUAAUAAUAAUAAUAAUAAUAAUAAUAAUAAUAAUAAUAAUAAUAAUAAUAAUAAUAAUAAUAAAUAAAGUUUAUUUAUUUUAAGUAAAUAAUACUAAUUGUAAAAAUAAAAUAAUUUAAUAAUAAUAAUAUAAUGAGUGGAUUUUUAAAAUGGCCACUUUCAUAUUGUAAAGAUAAAAAAUGUCCACUAAAAUAAAAAACUUAAAAAAUGUCCACUGUUACCAAAAUACCCUUCACAUUAAAAAUUAAAAAAAUGUCCACUUUACAUCACCCCUUUAAAAAAUCCCGCAAUUCACAACCAGUGUGAAUUCACAACCAAAAAUUUUUGGUUGUGAAUUCACACUUCACAACCAAUCGAAUUCACAACUAGAAUUUUUUGUUUGUGAAUUCACAAUCAAAAUUUAAUUCACAACCAAAUUUUUUGGUUGUGAAUUCACAACCUAAAUUUAAUUCACAAUAAGAAUUUUUUGGUUGUGAAUUCAAAACCAGUCGAAUUCACAACGAAAAUUUAAUUCACAGCCAGAUUUUUUUGGUUGUGAAUUUACAACCAGUCGAAUUCACAACCUAAAUUUAAUUCACAAUAAGAAUUUUUUGAUUGUGAAUUCACAACUAGUCAAAUUCACAACCAAAAUUUAAUUCACAAUCAGAAUUUUUUUUGUUGUGAAUUCGACUGAGUGAAUUCACAACCAAAAUUUAAUUCACAAUCAGAAUUUAUUUUGCUUGUGAAUUCAAGUAGUUGUGAAAUUAAGUUUUUAAAGUUUGAAUUGACAUUAAAACUAGAAUUUUUUUUUUGUCGUAAUUCGAGUUUUAGUUGUGAAUUCAUAGAUUUGGUUGUGAAUUAAGAAUAUUAAGUUGUGAAUUUAUCAAGUUAGUUGAAAAUUCAAGAACAUUAAGUUGUGAAUUCAAAAAUAUUAAAUUGUGAAUUUAUAGAUGUGAUUGUGAAUUCAAGAAUAUUAAGCUGCUGUGAAUUCAUAAAUAUUAAGUUGUGAAUUCAUCGAGUUGGUUUUGAAUUCAAUAAUAUUAAGUUCUGAAUUCAUAGAUCUAAUCGUGAAUUCAAGAACAUUAACCAAAAUGUUCCAAUUAAUUAACUAACCACCAUUAUAAAAUAAUUAGAAAAUACUCUCAAUUCACACAUCAUCUUCUUCCACAAUUUCCCCAAUUUCCAACUCUUUUCCCAAUUUCCAGUCAUUGCAAUUCAACUAACUUGAAGAAAGUAAAAUUGAAUUGAGGUUUAGAUAAACAUGCAUCAUAGAUCUUCCACAAUUUCCCCAAAUCAAUCAGCAAACAUGGUUAUUUUAGCAUCAGUAAGCUUUGUCCCCAAAUCUGCCAAAUCAAACACAAAUUAAAUUCAACGCGGCGCAGAUUGUGUGGAGGCAGAUAGCAGCGGCGCCGCGUUCGCGCUUCUUCUUUUUUGACCUGCGAUUUUGCCUGGGGAGGAGGCUCGCCGAAAGUUUCCGUGGCUGGGGAUGUCUGUUGGCGCCGCAUUGUUUGGCCGGAAGGUGAGCAGAGAUGGCGCCGCUCUAAGGGAAUGAAACCCUAGGCGGUGCGAUAGCAGGAAGGUGAAUAUGCUGACGUCCUCGAUGCCAAUUGUGCCCUGGAGGAAGUAGAGAGCGGGGCGGAGCUACCGCUCCACGCUGCAGGCGAGGAGGCGGAGGUCGGCGGCGUCCACGCGGGCCUCGCGGAGGAGGAAGGUGGAAGACAACAGCCGCCGUCUCUCCAGAUCUGGAGCAACAUUUCGAAGACAACACCCCAACCGCCGACUUUUGCCUUUCCACUUCAACCACCCCAAGGCCACCAGAUCUAUGCUCUCCACAAGUUGAAUCCGACAACUCCAAGUUAGAAUCGAGAGCGAGAGAUAGACAGAGGUGUCGCGGUGGUGGUGGUUAUGUGGCGCUGCCGCUGCGAUUGCCGGAGAUUGAGUGGCGGCGGUGCGGCAGACGGGGGGCGAGAGGGAGAGGGAGAGGGAGCGUGAGAGAGAGAGAGAGUACAACGAUAGAGAGAUGGCGGAGGCGACGAGGCCGAGGUGGCGCCGCUUCGCCGGCGAUCUGAGCUCGAAGGGAGGGAGAGAGAGAGAGAGAAGGGGGAAGGUGUACCGUGAGGGAGAAGAGAGAGAAAGAGAGUGGAGCGAGAGAGAAGAGAAUGAGAGAAAGAGAGAGUACAUUAUUUUUAAAGGAGGGUAUUUCUAUCUUUUCAAAUUAAAAAGUGGACUAGUUUUUAUUAUUUUUAUCUUAGUGGACAAAUUUUUAUUUUUACAAUAUGAAAGUGGAUAGUUUUAUAUAUUAACUCUUAUUUUAAUAUAAAANAACUGAAACUGAAACUGAACUGAACCCUAAACCCUAAAAUCUAAACCCUAAACCCUAAACCCUAAACUCAAUCUAAAGCCUAAACCCUAGUCGUGAAUUGUUACGAUUGUAAAUUCACAACUGAAACUGAACUGAACCCUAAACCCUAAACCUAAACCCUAGUUGUGAAUUGUUACGAUGUGAAUUGAAACUGAACUGAACUGAACCUUAAAUUGAACUGAACCUUAAACCCUAAACCCUAACCUAAACCCUAAACCCUAAACCCUAAACCCAAUCUAAACCCUAAACAGUCGAAUUCACAACAAGAAUUUUUUGGUUGUGUAUUUACAACCAAAAUUUAAUACAUAACAAGAAUUUUUUGAUUGGGAAUUCACAACCAGUAAAAUUCACAAUCAAAAUUUAAUUCACAACUAGAAUUUAUUUUGGUUGUGAAUUCAAGUAGUAGUUGUGAAUUCGAGUUUUUAAAGUUUGAAUUCACAACUAAAACUAGAAUUUAUUUUGAUUGUGAAUUCGAGUUUUAGUUGUGAAUUAAUAGAUCUGGUUGUGAAUUCAAGAAUAUUAAGUUGUGAAUUCAUAGAUGUGGUCGUGAAUUCAAAAAUAUUAAGCUGUUGUGAAUUCAUAAAUUUGAUUGUGAAUUCAAAAAUAUUAAGUUAUGAAUUCAUGGAGUUGGUUUUGAAUUCAAGAAUAUUAAGUUCUGAAUUCAUAGAUCUAAUCGCGAAUUCAAGAACAUUAACCAAAAUGUUCCAAUUAAUUAACUAACCACCAUUAUAAAAUAAUUAGAAAAUACUCUCAAUUCACACAUCAUCUUCUUCCACAAUUUCCCCAAUUUCCAACUCUUUUCCCCAAUUUCCAGUCAUUGCAAUUCAACUAACUUGAAGAAAGUAAAAUUGAAUUGAGGUUUAGAUAAACAUGCAUCAUAGAUCUUCCACAAUUUCCCCAAAUCAAUCAGCAAACAUGGUUAUUUUAGCAUCAGUAAGCUUUGUCCCCAAAUCUGCCAAAUCAAACACAAAUUAAAUUCAACGCGGCGCAGAUUGUGUGGAGGCAGAUAGCAGCGGCGCCGCGUUCGCGCUUCUUCUUUUUUUGACCUGCGAUUUUGCCUGGGGAGGAGGCUCGCCGAAAGUUUCCGUGGCUGGGGAUGUCUGUUGGCGCCGCAUUGUUUGGCCGGAAGGUGAGCAGAGAUGGCGCCGCUCUAAGGGAAUGAAACCCUAGGCGGUGCGAUAGCAGGAAGGUGAAUAUGCUGACGUCCUCGAUGCCAAUUGUGCCCUGGAGGAAGUAGAGAGCGGGGCGGAGCUACCGCUCCACGCUGCAGGCGAGGAGGCGGAGGUCGGCGGCGUCCACGCGGGCCUCGCGGAGGAGGAAGGUGGAAGACAACAGCCGCCGUCUCUCCAGAUCUGGAGCAACAUUUCGAAGACAACACCCCAACCGCCGACUUUUGCCUUUCCACUUCAACCACCCCAAGGCCACCAGAUCUAUGCUCUCCACAAGUUGAAUCCGACAACUCCAAGUUAGAAUCGAGAGCGAGAGAUAGACAGAGGUGUCGCGGUGGUGGUGGUUUGGGCGCUGCCGCUGCGAUUGCCGGAGAUUGAGUGGCGGCGGGCGGCAGACGGGGGGCGAGAGGGAGAGGGAGAGAGAGCGUGAGAGAGAGAGAGAGUACAACGAUAGAGAGAUGGCGGAGGCGACGAGGCCGAGGUGGCGCCGCUUCGCCGGCGAUCUGAGCUCGAAGGGAGGGAGGGAGAGAGAGAGAAGGGGGAAGGUGUAUCGUGAGGGAGAAGAGAGAGAAAGAGAGUGGAGCGAGAGAGAAGAGAAUGAGAGAAAGAGAGAGUACAUAUUUUUAAAGGAGGGUAUUUCUAUCUUUUCAAUUAAAAAGUUGACAGUUUUUAUUAUUUUUAUCUUAGUGGACAAAUUUUAUUUUUACAAUAUGAAAGUGGAUAGUUUUAUAUAUUAACUCUUAUUUUAAUUAUAAAAUUAUACUCCCUCCGUCCCGCAAAGCGUGACCCACUUUCCUUUUUGGGUUGUCCCACGAAGCUUGACCUGUUUCUAAAAAUGGCAAAAAAUUUACCCUUUAUUCACCUUUUCACUUUUUCACCUACCACACUUAACACACAAAAUACCACUUUCUUAAUUCUCGUGCCGAAAAGAAUGGGUCACGCUUCAUGGGACGGAGGGAGUAUUUACUUUUUAAAUUAAUUUAAAAUGUAUUUUUAGUUGAAGAUGAAUGUUUUACUCCCUCCGUCCCAAACGAAAUGACCUACUCCCUCCGUCC
rnacentral:lncRNA from 1 species